CAGCUCGGGUUUCUAAAAGCUUCUUUCUUUCCUUUGCUUUUCUUUGCUUUUUUUAAUUUCUGAAGUCUGGAGAGAGAGGAGGCGAGCGGGCCGAGGCAGUGUAGCGAAUGCACCUCCCAUUCAACCAAGACAUCAGUGAUCUUUACAAAAAAAAAAAAACCACGAUCAAGACACCAUUCAUCUGGAGGUUUCUGAAGACCUUUCUGUUACCCAAUUGUCUUUGAAAAGUUAAAGGAGGACUGAAGUCAUCAAGGGAUAUUGUCUUUCGGUUUUUACACAGACCUCCUGAUCUAUCUGUGACACUACUGCAUCUUCUCCCUGCCCAUAUUACUCACACAGCACUAACAAGCAAUCUGUGCUGGCAUCCCUGUGGAGGCCAUAUUCAGCCCUGGAGGAAGCAAGCACAUCUCACCUUGAAUUUGGCCCAUGGUGUCUAUGGAGCUGGAGAUUAGGAAGGUCAAAGAAAAGGGAUUUAGGUUAAUCAGGUUGAGAAACAACAACAGCGCAGAAGAGGAUUUCAGCAGAGGCAGAAUCGAGGGAGUGGGGCACACAGACGAUAUUGUGGGAGAUGGUGGUAGGUAGAUUGGGAGGCAGAAGAUGAGGGAGAAGAAAGAGUUUAAAGUCAAGUACAAAGAAGAGAAUCAGAAAAUGGAGGCAAAUGGAAGAUCUGAUUCAGAGUAAAAAAAGAGUGUGAUCCCUUUUGCUGGACCAAGAAACAUGUUAUAAUCUGUACAAUUUCAGGUUCCUUCUUGAGGGGAGCCAACCCAGAGAUGGCUGCAUUUCUGAAUGUGUAUGUAUAUAGUUUGUGAGGCUCUGUGCAAGCCUCUAGGAUGGAAGGUGCUAUUUAAAUGUAUAGUAUGUAUUCUUAAUGGAAAAGAAUUAUACACUGGCAUUUUUGGUGCAAUAAUGGUGUCACAUUAUCUACCCUGCACAUUUUAUUAUUACAUUCACUAUAUUUCAGACCUUAUAAUCAGUCCAUAAAUGUAUGUUUUCAAGCUGCUCUUGUUGUGAGAGCUUGCAACAAGAGAGAUUUUAAGUGAACAGAAAAUUUAAAAAUUCUGUGGGCAUUUUUUAAGCUACACAAGUUUGAAAAACAUAGAGGGUUCUCAUUUUCAGAAUUAUUUUUACAAUUGUGUAAGUCAAAACCAUUUAAAAAAAUUAUUACAUUUGCCAAGUGCCCUUUCUACGUUUUCUAACUAGUAGUCAUAUUUUGGAAAAUUCUGGGCCAGAUCCAGUCUUCGGGUAAUGUGUAUAUCUGAAAACUCUGCCAUUUUGGACAUCAAAAUUUGCCAGUGUCAUACCCCUCUGCUUAUUCACCCAAAACGUCUAGCGUCAAGGAUAAGGCUUAGAAGUGGAGGAAUGUGAUCUUUCUGUUCUCACACAAACCCCCUGAUCUGUCUGUGGUCCCAAAGCACCUUCUCCCUGUUCAUAUGACUUACACAGCACUGACAGAAGUACCUUGUGCUCGCAGCACCAUGGAGAUUGGGCAGGAUGCUCCAGGAGAAGUCAGAAUACAGACCCAACAUGAAUGCUGCCUUUUGGAAACUAGACCUCCUAGUAUGAAACAUCAUGCUGCAACACCUAUGCCCAAAGGGACAAGUACAGGGUGGAGUGUCAAUGAAGUAAGUACAGUGCUUCAGUCAUAAGCCUUGCUGGCUAAUCUCAAGAUUUUUGGCAUGAGUCUCAGGCUUUCGGGGGAUUUCUUAGCUCCUUAGGUAGGGCUCCAAAAUCUCAGGACCUUAAAUGGCAGCACAGCACUGAGUGAUGCUGGAUGGAGGAGCUGAGAGAUGGAGCACAUUCAAGUUGCCCAGAAAGAAGAGAGUUACUCUGUUCCACCACUGUCUGGUGGAGAUUUCAAUUUCCUUGUUAAAAAUGACUUUGGCAUUCCGCCCCACCCCACCCCCACUGGCAGAGAGAAACAACUGGAGAGGGGAUGGGAGAAUGUCAUGCAGGCAAGAGGAAAAUCUCAGUCUUCUCCAUUUCCUAUUGUUGGCAGGUAUGGUUAUAGCUUUGGAGUUCCUUCCUUUUAACACUAUAGGUCAUAACCUUAACAUUAUUUACAUGUCUUUCGUAUAUUUAUUGCAGUGGCAUAGCCAGAUGUAUUAUGGAGCGCAUUUCUCUUCCUCUGAAACACAAAGCAUUAGUCAUUGUUGGACGUGAGAUAUCGAACUAGGAGUCUGACCGCAGUCCUUUCUCAGGCAAAAUUCCCACUGACUGGGGAGUUUAGCCUGAGUAAAGAUGGCGGGAUCAAGUGCUGUAUGGACUGCUUGUCUGUUCCCCUAAAAGAAUUCCUAUGUUAGUGUAGGACUGCCCAGCAUCACCACUGCUAUCUCCUAAUCUGACUCAGAAAGUUCCUCUACACCAGGGGUUCUCAAACUGGGGGUCAGCGGGGCUGACAGCUGGAGCCGCAGUUAAAUUAAAUUAAAAUUAAAUUAAAUGAUAAAUCCCGAUUUUUAAUUUAUAAGGGGGGUCACACACAGAGGCUUGCUGUGUGAAAGGGCUCACCAGUACAAAAAGUUUGAGAACCACUGCGACUGAAAUUUGGCAUGUGAGAUCUGAUGCCAGGAGCAUGCUUUUUAAUCAAUUAAAAUUAAACAUGUAAAACGUUUAACUUAUAGUAACGCAAAUAAUUUUUUUUUAA